rnacentral:rRNA from 1 species
CCAAAGAUUUAUCGCUGAGAGAUGGCCUCGCGUCUGAUUAGCUAGUUGGUAGGGUAACGGCCUACCAAGGCGACGAUCAGUAGCCGGACUGAGAGGUUGGCCGGCCACAUUGGGACUGAGAUACGGCCCAGACUCCUACGGGAGGCAGCAG